GGCAGAGGGCACUCCCCUUUCCCCCGCUGCUGCUGCUGCUGUGAGUGGGGACAGCAGGCAUUUUUAGCUGAAAGUAGACUGGGACCUCCAGCUGGAGAAACUGUCAAGCAGUGAGGUCCGGCUGGAGGCUGACUGGGAGUGGUCUGGUCCAGGUGCCAACAGAGGCCGAGGGUGUGCAGGAGACCAGGAGAGGGCGUCAGGCCACAGCCAGAGGGCAGGGGCACUUGACCCGAGAUGCCCUCUCUCUGCUGCCACGGUCACCUGGCCUCCCAGGCUGCAGCAGAGUCAGACGCACCUUUGUGACAUCCUCAGCAGCAUUUUGCCCUAUUGACCGUUUGCAUCCGGCUACUCCAGUGGCCAAAAUUCUUGCUUUCUUCCUUCCCACCUCCUUGCCAGCCUGCAUCCCUCUCCCAACCCUCACUGCAGCCCUGAGGCCUUUUCUUCCCUGUCUGUGUCUGAGCAGCCUACGCCAUCGGUGGCCUCUGGGGCUCAGUCUGGGGCCUCUCUUCUGGCUCCCUGCCUGUCCUCCAGGCACGAGAGGCUACUCAGCCUUCAGCCUCUUGAGUGCCUAUCCUCAAAUCGCCCUCCCAGCCUCCCUUGGCCCUGCUGUCCCCUCUUGAAGGUGCUGCACAAAACCCCAGACUCAACGCCUUCUCGAUAGCACACCGCGCCCUCCCUGCUCCCAUCUUUGUGGGGAUCAACAGGAUGACUGCCCUUCCUUCCAGCAGGCCUGGUACUGGGGUGCCCCAGGAGAGGGUGUACCAGGGUGUGGCCAGCCAGGAGGUGCCCACGACUGUGAUGCCACAGCCCUCGGUCCCCCUCUGUCACGUGUAAGGUGGGAGCAGGAGCCCCAGGGGAGCCAGGGCUCUUGAGCACGAAGGUCUGUUGUCGGACUUAGGAAAGGGCCCAGUCUCACAAAGACGUCCAGACCAAGACUCACCAGUGGAGCCCACCAAACACUAAUGGAGGAAAAGCACCCCGCUACACAGACGCUUCCAGGACACAGAAGAAGACGGGCCAUGUCCCAGCUCCUCUGUGAAACUGUCAUCACCCUGGUGCCAAAACCAUGCAAGGACAUGACAAGAAAAUUAAAGUCCACUCAGGAGCCUAGACACAAAAAUCCCUUAACAAAACAUCAAAUCAAUUCCAGCAAUAUAUAAAGAGAACACAUAUGACCUUGUGGAGCGUACCCGGGAAUGCAAAGUUAGUUUAACAUUUCAAAAUCAAUUGUCAUUCACUAUUAGCAGACCGACACAGAAAAACCACACGGUCAUUUCCACAGAUGCAAGGAAAGCAUUCAACAAAAUUCAGCACUCAUUCACGACAAAGGCUCUCAGUAAACCAGGAGGAGAAGAUUCGAAUCUAUUCUGCUCCUGCACUCCCAACCCAACAAAGGGAAACUACAAAAACCCACAGCUAAUGUCAGGCUUAGUGAAAUUGACAAGCUGACAGGUGCGGUGGCUCAUGCUUGUACUGCCAGCACUUUGGAAGGCCAAGGUGGGAGGAUAGCUUGAGCCCAGGAAUUUGAGACCAGCCUGGGCAGCAUAGCAAGACUCCAUCUGAUAUAGUUUAGGUAUUUGUCCCCGCCCAGAUAUAUGUUGAAAUAGAAUCUUCAGUGUUGGAGAUGGGGCCUGCUGGGAGAUGUUUUGGUCAUGGGGUGGAUUCCUCGGGGCUUGGUGCUGUCCUUGCAAUGGUGAGUAUUCGUGAGAUCUGGUUAAGUGGGUGCCUCCCCUCCCACUCUCUCUUGCUCCCACUUCUGCCGUGUGAGACCCCUGCUCCCCCUUUGCCUUCCACCGUUAUUGGAAGCUUCCGGAUGCCAUGCUUCCUUUACAGCCUGCAGAACCA
rnacentral:lncRNA from 1 species